AGUGAACGCUGGCGGUAGGCCUAACACAUGCAAGUCGAACGGCAGCACAGGAGAGCUUGCUCUCUGGGUGGCGAGUGGCGGACGGGUGAGGAAUACAUCGGAAUCUACUCUGUCGUGGGGGAUAACGUAGGGAAACUUACGCUAAUACCGCAUACGACCUACGAGUGAAAGCAGGGGACCUUCGGGCCUUGCGCGAUUGAAUGAGCCGAUGUCGGAUUAGCUAGUUGGCGGGGUAAAGGCCCACCAAGGCGACGAUCCGUAGCUGGUCUGAGAGGAUGAUCAGCCAAACUGGAACUGAGACACGGUCCAGACUCCUACGAGAGGCAGCAGUGGGGAAUAUUGGACAAUGGGCGCAAGCCUGAUCCAGCCAUACCGCGUGGGUGAAGAAGGCCUUCGGGUUGUAAAGCCCUUUUGUUGGGAAAGAAAUCCAGCUGGCUAAUACCCGGUUGGGAUGACGGUACCCAAAGAAUAAGCACCGGCUAACUUCGUGCCAGCCGCCGCCGUAA
rnacentral:rRNA from 1 species